CAGAAGAGGACACAAGGCUGAAGGAGGUUACACAGCACAGGAAUCUGGACCUUCUCACUCCAUGUAUGGUGUUCCCACAUAGCGACUUCCUUAAAGAUGCAGAGUUCUAUGUAUUCGCUAUUCGGGUGGCUGGUUCACACCACGAUGCUCAACUCCAUUGAGGAAGGCUGCGUUUGCUCAAUCAAACAACCAGGUGGAAAUAAGAGCACUGGAAGGGUGGAGCUUGCUGAGAGUAACAGCUGGGAGGGGACCCCUUGCUGUCCACUGUCCACAGUCUGACUCAAGCCUGUGUUCAGAAUGCCUACCUUGAGAUGCCUUCCACUCCAUGGAGAACCUUGUUUGGAUUUUGUCUCAGAUUACUGGGAAUCAGAGUCUCUGAUUGACCACAUGACUCCUUCUUUGCCACUCAAGUUCAAAAUUUAUUUCUCAAGCUGUCCUUAAAGCUCCUUUCCAGGCUUGUCUAUCACUUCUUGCAAUAAUUAAUUGCCUUGGCUUUGCUGACUUCAGCGUCUUCACUUAUGACAUGUCCUUUGCCUAAAAUGUUACACGCCUUCGCACCCAAACCUCCCCUGUUAAAAUUCUCUUCUAUUAAGGAUCUCCAGUUGCCUUGCAAAAAUGAUCCCCCUCAAGCAUUUUGUAACACUUAAACAGUAGACUAACAUAUUACUUCACUGUAUUUAUUUGUAU